AUUCCAAUAAAAUAUGGUUUUCAUAUAAUAGCAAGAAUAGGGCUUGCGAGUUUCUACCGGUUUACCGUAAAUAAACCGACUAUGAAAAUAACUGAUCUGAAU
rnacentral:ncRNA from 1 species